rnacentral:rRNA from 1 species
AACGCGAAGAACCUUACCUGCGGCUAGAAUGCCUCUGACAACUCCAGAGAUGGAGCCUCUUAGGGAAACCUAGGCAUGAGUGCAAGGUGCUGCAUGGCUGUCGUCAGCUCGUGUCGUGAGAUGUUGGGUUAAGUCCCGCAACGAGCGCAACCCUUAUCUUUAGUUGCUAGCGGUUCGGCCGAGCACUCUAGAGAGACUGCCGUUGACAAAACGGAGGAAGGUGGGGAUGACGUCAAGUCCUCAUGGCCUUUAUGUCCAGGGCUACACACGUGCUACAAUGGCCGGUACAAAGCGCUGCAAACUCGCAAGAGGGAGCCAAUCGCAAAAAGCCGGUCUCAGUUCGGAUUGGAGUCUGCAACUCGACUCCAUGAAGCUGGAAUCGCUAGUACUCGCAGAUCAGCACGCUGCGGUGAAUACGUUCCCCGGGUCUUGUACACACCG